rnacentral:rRNA from 1 species
GACGAACGCUGGCGGCGUGCCUAAUACAUGCAAGUAGGACGCAGUUGCGAACGGGUGAGUAACGCGUAGGUAACUACCUAUUAGAGGGGGAUAACUAUUGGAAACGAUAGCUAAUACCGCAUACUAGUAGAUGGACCUGCGUUGUAUUAGCUAGUAGGUAGGGUAAUGGCCUACCUAGGCAACGAUACAUAGCCGAGCUGAGAGGGUGAACGGCGAAACGUGGACUGGGGAACGGGCCAGACUCCGAAGGGAGGCAAGAGUAGGGAAACUUCGGAAAUGGGGGGAAACCUGACCGAGAAAAGACGCGGGAGAGAAGAAGGUUUUCGGAGCGUAAAGCUCUGUUGUUAAGGAAGCGGUACAUAACCAGAAAGGGACGGCUAACUACGUGCCAGCAGCCGCGGUAAUAC